CCCCAUUGGACUUGUACGGGCAGAGAACGUGUGUUUGGUGGGAUCACGGUGGGAUAUUAAGUAGCGUGUCGCAGCUUAGUAAAGGCCUAUUUAGUUUUUUAAAAGAAUCGUUUAGACUUACUUACAAUAUCAAAGAAACAGAAAAAUAAAAUUAAGUCACAAAAAUCAAAUCACUUACACCAUACUACGGACUUUAUUCUUUCAUUACGUUUUGGUUUGUACAAUUUGAAUGUGUUUUCAAACAGGUAAACAAAACUUUUAAUUUGACGAAAUAUUCACAUAAACAAAACCGAAUUACAACUCUUUUGAUUCGAAGGCUAUGGAUUUUAAGGGUAAUAUUGGCCAGUUGUAAUAAAAACAAAAAAAAAAAGAAAAGUAAAUGUCAAAUUCUGACAUAAAAACAUGUUGAUAUUUUUCGUUCCAAGUUAUCAAUUUUGCUGUUGCUAUUAUUGAUUUUUUGCCAUCAGUAUUUACUAAAAUUGAUGACAAGAAAAAGGUUUGUUUUCCGGCAAUUUAUCAUAUGGGAUAUAUGCAGUGAAUACAUGUUACCAAACUAAAAUACCUGUUUUGGCGGCUCGUCUUUUGGUGGAGGAUAUAAAAUCUACAUUUAGAGUACAUGUAUCUACAAUUAGAGAAUUUACAGAAUUACUGUUUAGCACUUAGUGUUUGUUUGAUUGACCAUGAAAAUAAAACAACACAAAACGAUGACGUCAAGAGCUCAAUUCAUUACCGUCAAAAACUGUCGCUUGCGAAUUGAGCAACGAAACUAUCAAAGUUUAAGUUCAUAAAUCAGAAGAAACCGGAGUUGGCAGAAAAAAGACAAAGUUCCUACAGAUUGCCACCAAAAAUGGAAAGUCAAGUUCACACCAAGAGAAGCAUCGGCUGUAGUCGCGGUCACAGAAAAGAAAUGAUCACAGGUAAUUACAAAAUCAUUUAUUACUUCGUCACUAUCUCAUUUCCUUUUAACUCAAUCCAGCAUCUUGUAAACAAUUUUUAAGCCGUUAAUAGUAAAUGUAGUACUUAAGUGGGAAAAAUCGUCUAGGUUUAUUCAAUAGCAUUCGACUGUAAAAAUUAAAAAGUUAAAAUUCCUCACAAUACUUUCCAAUGGUGAUCUAAUAUAAACAAUGAGAAAUAAUAUGAAUACAACUGAUUAUAACAAACAAGAACUUUUAUUUUUAGUUUAUGCAAUCUGGUGUAGAUACACAAGGAUUUAUAUGGUUUACGUUAAAUUUGACUAGAUAAGUAAAUUAAAUAAAACUGAACAACGAACGCUGCUUACGAUAUAAAAAGAACCUUUAUUUCAUCUUUGUCGAACUAUUUGUGAAAGGAAAGUUCCCAAAAGUGGGCUAAAAGUUAUUCAUUCAUAAGAAGAAAACAAAAUAAAAAUAUUCCAAUAUAUAUUAUAGAUUCACACUAUGAUAGAAGUGAUUCUUUGCACCGAAUUACUAAUAGCUCGGCAAUAACGGCCUUUCAAAGUAACAACAAGGGUUCCAAAAUAGUAUGCACUUGUUAUGGUACUUAGGACAUUUCAAAAACAAUGUACUCGUAGUACGCCAAUUUGUAGCCCUCUUUGCUUUAUGUGUCCCUAGUAUUGAACUCGUAGUUACUAUGAUAUCUCUGUCUU